rnacentral:piRNA from 1 species
UUGUGUCUUCUGAUGGCAGACUUGC